AGAGUUUGAUCCUGGCUCAGAAUCAACGCUGGCGGCGUGCCUAACACAUGCAAGUCGAACGAGAAAGUGGAGCAAUCCAUGAGUAAAGUGGCGCACGGGUGAGUAACACGUGACUAACCUACCCUUGAGUGGGGAAUAACCUCGGGAAACCGGGGCUAAUACCGCAUAACACCUUCGGGUCAAAGGAGCAAUUCGCUUAAGGAGGGGGUCGCGGCUGAUUAGCUAGUUGGUGGGGUAAUGGCCUACCAAGGCAAUGAUCAGUAUCCGGCCUGAGAGGGCGCACGGACACACUGGAACUGAAACACGGUCCAGACUCCUACGGGAGGCAGCAGUGGGGAAUUUUGCACAAUGGGGGAAACCCUGAUGCAGCAACGCCGCGUGGAGGAUGAAGUCCCUUGGGAUGUAAACUCCUUUCGACCGGGACGAUAAUGACGGUACCGGUGGAAGAAGCCCCGGCUAACUCUGUGCCAGCAGCCGCGGUAAUACAGAGGGGGCAAGCGUUGUUCGGAAUUAUUGGGCGUAAAGGGUGCGUAGGCGGUGCGGUAAGUCUUCUGUGAAAUCUCCGGGCUCAACUCGGAGCCUGCAGGAGAAACUGCCGUGCUUGAGUAUGGGAGAGGUGAGUGGAAUUCCUGGUGUAGCGGUGAAAUGCGUAGAUAUCACGAGGAACACCUGUGGCGAAAGCGGCUCACUGGACCAUAACUGACGCUGAGGCACGAAAGCUAGGGGAGCAAACAGGAUUA
rnacentral:rRNA from 1 species